GGAUUGUGGCUCAGCGGUAGAGUGCUUGCCUAGCAUGCAUGGGGCCCUAGGUUCGAUCCUCAGCACCA
rnacentral:tRNA from 1 species